GGAGAGAUGGCCGAGCGGUUCAUGGCUCCAGUCUUGAAAACUGGCAUAGUGUUUCAUUACUAUCGAGGGUUCGAAUCCCUCUCUCUCCC
rnacentral:tRNA from 2 species